rnacentral:rRNA from 1 species
CGGGGGGAGCAAGCGUUGUUCGGAUUUACUGGGCGUAAAGGGCGCGUAGGCGGCGAAUCAAGUCAGCUGUGAAAUCUCCGAGCUUAACUCGGAACGGUCAGCUGAUACUGUUUUGCUAGAGUGCAGAAAGGGCAACCGGAAUUCUUGGUGUAGCGGUGAAAUGCGUAGAUAUCAAGAGGAACACCUGAGGCGAAGGCGGGUUGCUAGGCUGACACUGACGCUGAAGCGCGAAAGCUAGGGUAGCAAACGGGAUUAGAUACCCCGGUAGUCCUAGCCCUAAACGAUGUAUGCUUGGUGUCUGGAGUUUUUAUCUCUGGGUGCCGUCGCUAACGCUUUUAGCAUACCGCCUGGGGAGUACGCACGCAAGUGUG